UACGGAGGGUGCAAGCAUUAAUCGGAUUUAUUGGGCGUAAAGGGGGCGUAGGCUGGAUAGUAAGUCAGACGUGAAAUCCCGGGGCUUAACCCUCGGAACUGCGUUUGAAACUACCAUUCUUGAGGAUAGGCGGAGAAAACGGAAUUCCACAUGAGCGGUGAAAUGCGUAGAUAUGUGGAAGAACACCGGUGGCGAAGGCGGUUUUCUAGCUUAGACCUGACGCUGAUGCCCGAAGCUAGGGAGCAAACAGG
rnacentral:rRNA from 1 species